UCGUCCACUGUUACGCUUUGAGUAUAUAUAUAUAAAUGAGAACAGUCGCUGACAGCAUGUCAUGGCACCAGUUUGUCUCUCUUCAUCUGCCCAGUGCAAAACAGCAAAUGGCAAAUACACAACAAAAAGCAGCAAAGGGCCGUAUUUGAAAUAGUGCUAAACAAGACGUAGCCACAUCUGUGCGUCAUCACUCCUCCUGCGACUACCAGGGCGACACCUGGCCUCACGCCAUGAUGCUUCCCCAUCCUCCGUGAAAAGCGCCGGUCAGACGUCCGGGCUCGUCCUCCAGGCGUGUCUGCAGGCCUCGCCCCGUGGGGACGUGUCUGCAGGCCUCGCCCCGUGGGGACGUGUCUGCCGGCCAGGAACAAGGGACACUCAGUGUUGCGGUUGGCUGCAUCGAUCCGACUGUCUGCCGUCCUUCUGAGGACAUGCUGGAUGCAGCACCCGGCCCGUUCACUGCUGAAGAUGUGAGAAAUAGUUACAUGUUUGAGAUUGUCAAGGAAAAUCAAACAAACCAAACAGGGAAUAAGAGAUUAAAAAAGAAAAGUCACACAUGUUUCUGCACACUGAUGAUCUAUUUGUGUUUUAACAUUGUCAUUGUGAACGCAUGAAAGCCACCGCCAUCUUUACAUGUACACAAACGUAGGAGUCAGUAGACUGAUCAAAAUGGAAUUCGGUGGUUGAUUAGGAUUAGCAUUCUAUUCAUCUGUUUCCAAAACUGAAUUCUUCCUUUGGGAGGCUCAGCCUGCAGCAUUAACCGGCCACUCGCCCUCACUCGGGGGGGGUCUCUGUCCCUCCCACACACCUUAAAAUGAACAUUACUGAACGGCGUCACUAGAUAAGGGGUGAAUCCUUUUGGAAAACAGGUGUCGCACACUCGUAGUUCUGCUGGUGGCCGAGUAUCAAUGUUUGCAUCCUUUAGUCUGCGUGUGGACUAGAAAUAAGCACUAACAAAAAAGAGGAACUUCCUCAGUUUUGUGACAGUUUCCCUUCUCAAAGGCGCAAAUCACGACAUCUGAUUGACGAGACGGUCUGAUUACGCCGCUCGCUAAUGACUCCAAGAAGAGCUGCAUCAAACAAAAAUAUAUAUGACGUACAAUGCAGCUAAAUGGCACAAUUCAUUACCCGAGUUUUAGCGCACACACACACACACACACACACACACACACACACACACACACACACACACACUAUACCAGUUGUGGCGGCUUCUCAAACCCCAGAUAUUUGAAUUCUCUUUAACAGUAGAAAGCACAAAAAAAUAAAGCCUUUGUUUCUGACAUUUGUGGAGGUGAGUGUGUUUUUUUCCCCCCGUAUGUUAUUUUCAAUCACGAUACGUGACACGACUCUGCUCACUUAAAGCUUCCAUUUCAUGUUGACAAAGGCCUUCCUGCCUCUCUCUCUCUCUGCAGACACGUGAACUAAAGUGGAAGAAGAGCGAGGCGGCGAUGGGCGGCAUCAAAGCAGGCCUGUCAGCUCGUAGGUACGGGCCUCAUCAGCAGACACACAGCCUUCCUCCCUUUCUUCCAUCCUUUCAAACAGACAUCUUGGGCCGAUGGCAGGGUGUUGUCUAAUUAAUGACUGAAUGUGUGUGUGUGUGUGUGUGUGUGUGUGUGUGUGUGUGGAGUUGACCUAAAAAGUUAUCGUCACUCAUUGCUGAAUGUCACUCCCAUCGCAUUUUACUAUGAAGGUUGUCAGACUCUCUGCUCUUCACAUCCCCGGUUACUCUUAGCGAAGAUAGCGAUAUGUUGCAGUCGGUCCUGCACAGAAAUCAUUUAAACCAACCGUGAGCGGGGAAACGAAUGCUGCCAUAUUUGCCGUGCUUGUGUUGCACUGUGUAGUAGCCGUCACGUCAGCUGGCUGCUGUUCACAUUCACACUUUAGCAUUUUAGAUUGGAGCUGUUAGCGCUCUGAUGUUCUGAUGCGGCCCGGACUGGAGACAGACGGGAAGCAACCUUUGUUUCCUUCUUCUCUACAUUUCACCACAUGUCACUGUGUGCUCACGUGGCCCGAGGCUUCCAAUCUGUCCUCAGCACAAAGAAAGAAAGGCCCAAAGCUUCACGAGGCUUCCUCGACUCUCCAUCGGCCUCUCUAAUGAUCCACAUAUGUGUUUGUAGUUGUGGGAGUUGCAGCAGUGUUAAUUUUGGCAGCUAUUUUUUAUUUAGUCUCAGUCUUCAGACGAAAAAUGCAUAUAAGUUUUAGUCACAUUUAGUCAUUUUAAUCUUUCUUAGUUUUAGUCAACGAAAACUAGACUAAAAUGUAAUUAGUUUUAGUCACAUUUAAUAGCCAUAUUAAACUCCUUUUCUUCCCUUCUCAGGCCCAGGGACCCCCUGUGUUGUGUCUACAGCUGCAUAAUAGUCUAUCUUGCAGUACUUGGUUGUCCAUCAGAUGUCCCUCCUAGGACAGGUCUACAGAUGUCCCUCCUAGGACGGGUCUAUAGAUGUCCCUCCUAGGACGGGUCUACAGAUGUCCCUCCUAGGACGGGUCUACAGAUGUCCCUCCUAGGACGGGUCUAUAGAUGUCCCUCCUAGGACGGGUCUACAGAUGUCCCUCCUAGGACGGGUCUAUAGAUGUCCCUCCUAGGACGGGUCUAUAGAUGUCCCUCCUAGGACGGGUCUACAGAUGUCCCUCCUAGGACAGGUCUACAGAUGUCCCUCCUAGGACGGGUCUAUAGAUGUCCCUCCUAGGACGGGUCUACAGAUGUCCCUCCUAGGACGGGUCUACAGAUGUCCCUCCUAGGACGGGUCUAUAGAUGUCCCUCCUAGGACGGGUCUACAGAUGUCCCUCCUAGGACGGGUCUACAGAUGUCCCUCCUAGGACGGGUCUAUAGAUGUCCCUCCUAGGACAGGUCUAUAGCAGGUCGGCAGACUUUGACUCAUGGGCCACAAUGGGUUGUAAAAUGUGACGGAGGCCAAGAACAAAUGGUGGAAGUGUUUGUGUGAGUUGAUAUAAACGACAUGUGAAACAUCAUUACAUGAAAGGAUUUGGAUUUUAACAAAUAGAAAAGCAUUUAUUUGCAAGGCAAUUUAACAAAUUGUCAAAGGUGUAACAACUUCAUGAGGACCAGGGACCUAAACGCAACACUUUGUUGCCUUUGUCUGUUUACUUGCAAUGCUUUUGACACUUCAUGGUCCUUUAUUGUUUCCACUGUCCCAACAAAAGAGACCCUAACGUCCUACAAUCGGUGCAAUACAUUAUUUUCUUGGCUUCAGAACCUGCAAUGAGUUUAUUACGUUAGAUGCGUUUGUGACUGCCUGUCGUCUGUCAGCUGCGUGCGAAUUUAGGGGGAAAAGUAUUGUGACUUUGUCACGUCUCGUUAACGAAAGUUAGAAUAGAUGUAGUCAUAGUUUUCAUUUUUUAAGAUCGUUUUCGUCACGUCUUAGUCUCGUCCUAGUCUUGGAAAAAAGGUUUGUUAACGAAAAAUUUUCAUCAUAGUUUUCGUCGACGAAAUUAACACUGAUAUACAGUAAACUGAGCAUUCAACAAAAACUGCUCAGUAUUUCCCACAACAAGAACCAAAAUGAAGGUAUCAGGUGGCUUUUUAGUCCGUCCGCUUGCCGUAAAUGACCUUUCCUACUGAAGCAAUGGCUGAUCACUCAUAUGGGCCUGCAUAGGAAGAAGACCUCAAUGACUGUAUAAAUGAGUCCAUCAAUUCAUUGUUUUAAAUUGUUUGUUUCAGCCCAAACAUCACAGGUCCCUGAGCACGACAACAAAAAAGUUGUAUUCCUCUACAUGAUGACUAAUGCAGUUUUGCUGAAAUCUAUUGGCGUUUGGGGAAUAAAAUGUGGUGAGAUGAUGAGUACAAUCUGUGUCUUGUAUUCAUUUUCUCCUCAGAUGUCUUGCGUCACGCAGCAAUUUGAUGAUAGUUGGGACACCAUCAUAGAAGCAACCAACCGUGGGCGUCCUCCACCAUCGCCCGUCUAAUAACAGAUGUAACAUCAUCACUUGUCUGUUAGCAGCUCUCAGCAUUUCAUCCAUCCAUCUAUUUGUCUCUUCAUGUAACACUCAUCUUAAGUUCAUAAACAGCGUCAGCAGGAGCUUUGCACAUUCUCGUUACAUGCAGAUUGUCCUCUCAAACUUUCUAAAGUUUAGACAUCAAAACUACAAAGUUAGGUCGAGGAAAACUUGUUGUGAGCUUCACUGACCGACGGCUCGUGUGACCAGCAGCAAUAACGACUCACGUGACGACAUGUGUGCUAGAUAUUAGUCCACCUCUCGUACUAAAUAACCCUAAAUAAUCUAUUUUACAAUUUGUUCUACAUGCUGCAUCAUUUGGGAAACGGUGUUUACUGAAAGAUGAAACUCGGAUGAUGGAAAGAGAAGGACCCAGUGGUUUUAGACCUUGACACACACUCAAGAGAUUAAGUCAGAACAUCUCUGCCCAUGUGGAUGGAUUUUAACCAAACCCUUUAAGAAUAUGUCUCUACUCCUUUAAGCGAUUCGUGGAGAAUCUCAUUCUUUGUGUUUUGCUGAGAGAAGGAUGCAUGUGUGGAUCGUCUAAGCACUGCCAGCAGGGAGGAGACGGCAGCUCUGGUACAUGGUGCGAGCUCAUAGAGCAAGUACAUUUCACACAAUUAUGUUUGAGAUAAAUUCAGACAGGAGGCAUAUGACUACACUGGCUCAAAAAGCACACAUAGACAAUUGAAUGUAUCAAAUUGUUCUCAACAUGAAAUAUUGACAAGAUGCAGUGCAUCGGCUACACCGCGCAGCUCCUAACUCUAUGAAUGAGUUGAAUAACGCAGACCUCGGCUGGCCGUGAUUUACUUACUGCUGCAUUUUCUAUGUGGUGUGUGGAGACUUCACGGUACGCUGGCAAGUCAGCAGCUCAUGAUACCGUGUUUUUAUUUGAGCUUUAUAACUCAUGUAAAAUUGAUUCAGGUCAUGGCUAAAGAAGCAAUGAACAUUAGUGUUGCACACAUGCUGCGUCUUUGUUGUGGAAAGGCUUAGGGCAGCAGCCCCCCACCUGUUCGCCUCGCGGACUGGUUUCGUGUCAGAAACUGUUUUGUGGACCGAUCUUCAACAUGUGGCUGAUAAACACGGCGAAAAAACGGGUGGAGAAAAUAAGAGGACCAGUUUGGUACCAAAUGGUCCGCAAACCAGUGUUUGGGGACCACUGACUAUCCAGCGUGAUCUCCAAAACCUGUUUGUAAAAAUCUAUACAAAAAUCAUAAAAAUUGGUAACAAUACAUAGGAACUGGCGGUGGUUAACCACGCCCCCUGAGUGAACAACAUGGCGGACCAUGUCGGAUUCUUGAGUGAACGUCUCUCCGCCAUGUUGGAUUUUUUUAGGGGGUUAGGGUUAGUAUUCUGUUCUUACAAGUUAACAUUGAUUUCUCGUUAAAAAUGCAAUCAUUACACGUUUAUUUUACAUGGUUAGACUUCACCAAGUGGGUUUAACGGGGUGCAGGUCCCCAUUCACUUUGAAUAGGGUGACGUCAGCAGUUGCAGUCCGUAUUUAUUUAGUAUGUAUCACUACGAAUUUCUAGGUUCAAGACUUUUGUAUACAUGUUUACGAACAGGGUUUGUAGAUCAGGCUGGACUAUCUGCACCUACGAUCUCAAGUGCUUUACAACUGAUGCAGAGGUGGGACAUACAGGAAGAAAUGCAGACAAAGAAGUCAAAAACUGGGGGCGGUAUUUAUGCUCGAACAAAGAAGGACCACCAAAAGUUUACAACUUACCUUGAAGGGAACAUUAGUCAACCAAAUGUAAUGAUAAUCCAUCCAAUAAGCACAAACGUUGACUUCAUAGUUACUGAUACAUCGCCUGGGAGAGUGUAUAAGAUGUCCAACAGAACUAAAUCCAACUCAAUUCAACAUUAUAUUUUCUGUUAAUCGCAAAUUACAACUUUGCCUCAAGGGGCUUUACAGUCUGUACACAUGUGACAUCCUCCGUCCCUAAACCCUCACAUCGGCACAGGGAAACGUCCCCAAAAAAUGAAAAACCCUUCGAUGGGGAAAGAGGAGAAGGAAUCGCUCUGCCGCGAUGGACAAACUACAAUGGAUGUCAUGUGCACAGAAUGAACAAUGUGAAAGAUGCGCAAGUUUGUUGAAGAGGAAAUUCUCUCCUCAUUGACUACAAUCUGGUCGACUGCAGUAGUGUCACCUGAAAGGUUGCGGAGGUAAAGAGUGAACAGAAGGGGGCAAACACUCAGCCCUGGGGGGCUCCGUGACAAAGUCUAAUAACGCGUUGCAGACUGAGGAUGUCGAGCCUGUGCUGUAAAAAUGUACCGAUCGAUCUCCUCGUGGGGGCUGGAGGGUGUUUGAGGGCUGAGCUGAAGUUCACACAACAUGCUGGAAGUCGAGUCGGAGCAGACCUCCUCCAGACUGGCUCGGGUGGGAUUGUGUUGUCAUAGAGAGGUGGUCCCUCAAGGCACUUGAUCGGGACGGGGGGGGCACAGGGUGGUGGACUGCAGACUGGACACUGCAGACCUUUUACGUGAAGGGACAAUAAUAUGUGAUGAUAUGUACACAAACACAGAUCUUAUCAGGUCCAGCAGCUCCACCGACAUCCACCCUCACAUCCUCGGAGGUCUCAGACAGCGGCUGGUCCUGUGGAGAAUAUUUCACAGCUGUUAAAACUAAAAAGUAAUCACACGUCCACUCCAAAGUUGGAAGAGUACGAAUGAAAUAUGAAUAAAUGUUGGCGCACUUGUUCAAGAACUCAUAAGCGUGUUAUAUCCAGUUCUCAAUGUUAAUCUAAUCUUUCUGUACAAAUAUCAAUCCCCUGCAGUGACACAGUGCCUCCUCUUGUGUCAUCAGGAAAUGUGAAAAAAAAUAAUCAUUCAAAAAAUACAUAUAUGUUUGUCCACUGAUCUGUGAUAGAAGUGUAAUUAUUAGAUUCCUAUCAAUCCGAUGAUUGUUAUGUUGCGACGUCACCAAUGUAAUGUUUGUACACAGUUUCAUCACAUGUCCUCACAUCACAUAGUCUGCCUCCUGUAUAUCACGUAUGUUAGUCUUGCUAAUCUGACAACAGGAGGCACCUGGACUGGAGCCUCCUGCUCGUCACUGCUGGGAGGCGGAGUCAGUACCUCUGCCCGCCUGAAGGGGGCGUGUGUGAUUCCGCUGUUGUUUUUCUUCACGUAUUACAGACUGAUAGCAUAGUUAGCAUGUGCUAGUGCACAUUAUCAGUCCUUGAGAACAGGAAAACGUACAGACUGAAUCGGACCAAAGACGACUUUCACCCCGAGCAGUGAUGUCCAUUGAGACAAAGAGACGGUUCAAACUAAGAUAAAGACGACUUUUACACCAAAGUCAUAGAGAUGUUUGUCCAGAAGGAGAGGCGAAUGGACUUAAUAUCAUUUACAAGUAAAAGUAAGCGCAUGCACACACUGCUGUACACGACUAAAAGAGCAGCUCUAUUUUUGAUAACAUUAAAAAAAUAUAAAAGAACAUUUAAGCCAUAAGGUACGAGAGGCUGCACUUUAUCGUCAACAAUGCACUGUUCAAGGGUGUUGUUUGCCAACCGUAUUGCUUUAGGUUGUCCUUGACAUUAUUGGUAAGCAAAUAGUUUCCUUUCAGCACAAAACAAGUUGUAUCCUCCAAACGUUGUGUAUCGCAUUUCAGUUGCUGUGCAACAGACAAACAGCAAUGGGAGCGUUUGUUAGCUUAGCACCAGAAGUUAGUUGAUGAUUAGAAAGGAGAUUGACAUUAAUUUGUGCGUCUCGUUUAUUCACUUUGCUCGUGACGACCACCUGAAUGUUCCUCUUUGGCUAAAAGUGCCCUGAAUCGGUUGAGAAAACUCGUAUUUCACAAAACUUCUCAUUUGAGCCGAUGGCUGAAAUGACAACAAACGGUCGCGCAAAAUCUAACUGUUAUUUUGACCACCGCACUGAUAUGAACCCUGAGGUUAAUGUAAACAGGUAACAUUACAUUAUGGCUCAAUUCAGCUACACCCCGUGACUCACUCUCCACCAAUCAGAGCGCUUGAUUUCAUCUGCCCCGUAUUAUAAAAGAAUAUAUUUAAGGGAUAUGAAACAUAACCAGUCUUGUUGAAUGGUAAAUUUAUGCUACUUUGUUGAAUUCAUAUAUUUGUGAAUGUGACUUCAGAGUCAGUGCCUCCCAGCCACCACCAAGUACUCUUACCAAGUACACAAGUAACAGUUUGUAGUACCUUUGUUUUGGAGGCGAAUGUGCUCCUUUUUAUUCUUCUACAUCCUCCGAUGGCCUAAUUUUGUAAUUAAACUACAUAAUAACGUGGUUAAGCCAAGCGUGUCCCCGAUGGUGAGAAGGUAGAGAGUAGCAUCAUGAAAGGUGUGAAGGUGUGGAGGUUGAAAGGAAAAAACAAUAAAUCAUUUUUUGUAACUUUCUUCCUGUUUCCGAGGUAAGAAUUUAGUUUUUAAUUCGACCACAUUAUUAUUAUGCAUACAGAAAAUAUGACCACCUUAUUUAUAUGUUGCAUUUUCAGGAUCUGAAUAUGUUUUCCUCAUCAACUCUAUUAAAUAUAUUUUAAAUAUAACUCUGAAAACGGGUCCUUUUAGGAACUGAAUAGCAGCCAACAGGCUCUUACUUUGAAGGUCUAUGGCUUAAACUCCCUUUAAAAAGAUAAGACUGGGACGCACACAGGCAGUGGUAGGCUGCCCCCUCCUGCCCUCCUGCCCCCUGUAGAGGGCAGAACUCAGCCAAAACACCUCCGGCUUCAUGUCUGUAUCAGAGGAGAGCAAACCGAGAGGGGGGGGGGGGGGUGUAGAGGCUGUGGCAUUUCCAGAGUGCAUCAACAGAUACCCCCUCACGGCCCCUUCCUCCCCAGCCCUCGUAGAGUUGGACUUAUGGCUGGGUUGCCAGCAUAAAUAAGUCCCUUUGAUAGUUAGUGGAAGAAGUUACGACCCCCCUGGGUACGGCGAGGGACGGUGGCAGAGCGGCGUCUGGCGGGGGCCCGCCCGGCGCCCCGUGGCUCUGAUCCUCGCGCCGAUUCAGGGCACGCUCUCUUCAUUACAGGCGGCCACCGGGGACUUGUUUUUUCUGCAAGAUUAAUGAGUGCCGCGGAAAUUCUCCAGCGCAACGCGAUAAUUAAGUCUUUGUUUAUCAAAAAACAAGUUAUAUUAGGGGCAGGAAAUUCGCAGUAAUUAUUCAUAAUCCUAACAAUUCAAGUGUAGCUACCUCAUUUGCCUGUGUAAUUCUGCUUUUUAAUUUCUCGCAUAUAUUUGCAUAUUAAUUCUGCCCAUCGGCUGAUGCUGGGGCUGUGACAUUUUUUUCCCUCCCCUCUCUUCGCGCGGUGUGAUGUUUUUCGUGGGGGUGAGGCUUAGUUGGGUGGCAUUUCGGUUUGGGUGUAAUGAUAAAUUAUGAAUUUUUCUAAUUUGAUGCAUAAUGAAGUAACCCCUUCCCAUCCGCUUCCUCUCGGCUCCCCCCCCCCAUCCACACACCUCACCCUGCCACCACCACCUUCAGCCAUGUGGUCAUUAGGGACAGAGAAGCCACAUCUCAUUGGUGUCAAAGGCUGUCUGGUGGGCGAGGGAGAGGAGAUCAGCCGCCACGGGCCAACAUGGCAUCGCGUCCAAGCCCUCUGUGCCCUCGCAUCCUCUCCUCUCUCCUCUCCUCACCUCACUCCUUUCCCUUCCGUCUUCCCUUUCAUCUCUUUUUCCUUUCCUCUCAUCCCAUUGCUCCCCUUCUCCUUUCUUUAAACUGUUAAUUAAUGUAUAUCUUUCCUCCUCUCAUUUAUCUCUAUUCAUUUCAUCUUUCUUUACAAUCCCUCAUCCCCUUUACGCCCAUGUUUCCUUUAUUUUUCUAUGUACUCUUAAUUUCAUUUCUCAUUUCUUUCGGUUUCUUUUCCUCAUUCUUCCUUACGUCAUCUCCUCUUCACAUCCUGCCCCCUUGCCACCCCUCUUUCCCCUUCGUUUAUGUCGCCAUCCUCUCUACAGAUUCAUAUUCCGCUCCUUUCCUCCUCUCCAACGUCCUUCAUCACCCUUCCUCUCCUCGUCUCCUUUUCCUCUCACCCUUCUGCAUCCUUCGCUCCUCUCAUUUCUCUCCUGUAUCUCUCUCCUCCUCUUCCUCCCGAUUGCCUGUACAGAGAGUCUUAAUUCCCUGUGUCUGCCCAGAGGUUGUGUGUGUGUGUUUAUGGCAUGUUUGUAUGUCUGAAGAUGAGCCCAAAUCCCUUCGUCCUUGAUGAAAACAUCUUUGUGGUACGCUGACAUAUGUUUAAGUGGUGAGAGUGCGGCGUUUGUUAAGUGCUAAGCGUUACACAACGCUGACUGCCGCUGUCAUAAGGAAAUGAAUAUUGAUGAUCUCGGCCCCCACGAUGCACACUGGGUGACAUGCUUAAAAAUACAGCCUCACAGCCAUUUAGACUGCAUGCACUCUCACACUCACCAUCACACGAGCUGCUGGCAAUAUCACAAAUGGAGUAACCUCUGACCUGCUUUGGUGAUAAACACACUGUGAAUUAAUGUAACGUCACAAAUUCCACUUGGUUAAAUAAUCCAUCUGAAAAUCUGCUGGACGGUUCCAAUUUAGUUGAGUUUGAUUUUAAGACGAGGACGUGUUAAGUGUUGAGAUAAUAAUGAGACGAUAGAAUGUAUGUAAGACUGAGAGAAGUAUGAAGUACAGGAGGGAUGUUUAAUGUUGGAUGGUGUCAAUGAAGAGCAAUGAGAACCGGACAACCACAUAUUUAUUUCACGGAGCAUGAAGGAAUGUCAAUUUUGUUUCAUCUUUACAUAAUUCAACAUAUUAACAUAAGGCGGUAUUAUAUAUUUAUUUAUUUAUAGCAUUAAAAACAAUCAUCACUUAUUAACAUUUUUAAGCUGUUAUAUUUUUA
ensembl:lncRNA